UACGUAGGGGGCAAGCGUUGUCCGGAAUCAUUGGGCGUAAAGAGCGCGUAGGCGGCCCUGUAAGUCCGCUGUGAAAGUCAAGGGCUCAACCCUUGGAUGCCGGUGGAUACUGCAGGGCUAGAGUCCGGAAGAGGCGAGUGGAAUUCCUGGUGUAGCGGUGAAAUGCGCAGAUAUCAGGAGGAACACCGAUGGCGAAGGCAGCUCGCUGGGACGGUACUGACGCUGAUAGCGCGAAAGCCAGGGGAGCAAACGGG
rnacentral:rRNA from 1 species